GUUCCUGAAGGUCACCAUCCUGACGACGGGCGAGUCGACGUACUGAACAUACAGCAGGUUUCCUGACAGGAAGACAGAGUGACGGUUCAGUCCAAUCAGAAUUUAGUAGUUUACUUCUGGGGUUUGUGGCACAGAAGUAUUUGGCCCGCGAGUUCCCGCUCGGCCCAGAGACUUCACAUUGUGAUGAAGUUACGGAUUUUAAAAUUGAGGAAAGUUUUACAAAUACAAAAACCUCCGUGGAUCAAACAUUCAAAAUAAAAAGAGUCAUAAUUGACUUAAAGUUUGCAGUUUGAGGUGUUCUGGCUCCAGUUUUAGUGGCGGCCACGGGUGACUGGAGGAGACCUCUUGGACCGCACCGGUACGUACCUGUAGCGACGUCCCAGACGUUGAUGCUUCUGUCCUGAGAUCCUGUGAAGACGAACUGGUCGCUCUCAGAGAAAGCAGCAGAGAGGACGCCCUCGAAGAAAAACCCCUGAACAUCAGCAGAAAAAACUCAGACUGAGGAUUGCUGACCAGCGGGUUCAGGCCCCACAGCCUCUGUACGGCGUCCUCAGAGCCCACCAGGGCGUGGUCCCCCCAGUUACCUGCCGUCACACAGGUCACUCUGCUGCGAUGAGGCUCCAGAUCGGAGCUGCUGCCCCGGCUGAAGUCGUGGAGCUUCACCUCCCCGCAGAUCGUCCCGUACAGCAGCCGGCGUUUGGACAGCAGCGCCAUGGAGGACAGCGGGGAGUGGAGGAGGGACAGCGGGAACCUCUCCAGGGGUCCCUCCACUGUGGGGAAGCCGUCUCUGUUGGUGAUCUCAAACAGACACAACGAGUCCUCGUAGGCCACCGCCAGGUGCUUCUCCUGGGAGCCGACGGCCAGGCAGAGCACCCUGGAGAGGCUCUCCGGAGGGGGGAUGCAGAGCGUCUCCUGGGGAAGGGCCAUCGGGUAGAUGAGGAUGGUGCCGCUGGUCAGACCGCAGAGCAGCAAGCGUUUGCGCUGAGCUAACUCCAGACAGCAAACCUCAGCGGAGACCGCCAAAUGCUCCAAUGGAGAACCUGCAGGGAGAUCCAGGAGGAGGUUUCAGAGCCGCAACAGCAGGUAUCUCCACCUGCUGACGGUGCUGUUUAAAACACGACACACAUUCGCUUCCAUUUGUGACUUGGAUGAACGCGAUUACCAAACUAGGCGAGCUUGUGGAGCUGAUGACCUCGGUCUGGCUCUGCUCUCGGACGUAGAAAACCCGAUCUCCGUCUGUAGUGAUGGCGACGUGGGCGCAGCCUGCGGGGAUGUGGCCGGUGGGUUUG